rnacentral:rRNA from 1 species
AACAUGUCUAUAUGUAUAUAAUAUAAAGUAUAGUCUGCCCACUGAGUUUUAAAGGGCUGCGGUAUUUUGACCGUGCAAAGGUAGCAUAAUCAGUUGUCUUUUAAUUGAAGGCUAGAAUGAACGGCUGGAUGAGGGAAAGACUGUCUCUUUUGUAAUUCUAUAAUUUGACUUUUAAGUGAAAAGGCUUAAAUUUUCUAGGGGGACGAUAAGACCCUAUAAAACUUUAUAUUUUAAUUUUUUGCUUUAGAUUAUAAAUUAAAAUUGCAAAGUUAUUUAAAUAUUUCGUUGGGGCGACGUUGAUAAAAUCUUAACUGUCUGUAUAAAAGUUAUAGUAAUUACUAGCAUAUGAUCCUUCUUUUGAGGAUAAUAAGAAUAAGUUACUUUAGGGAUAACAGCGUAAUUUUCCUUGAGAGUUCUUAUCGAAAGGAAUAGUUGCGACCUCGAUGUUGAAUUAAAAUUUCUUUUAGGUGUAGCCGCUUAAAUAGUAGGUCUGUUCGACCUUUAAAAUUUUACAUGAUUUGAGUUCAAACCGGUGUGAGCCA